CAAAAGAAGGGAAGCACAGCGACAUUGUCGGCAUCUCCCAGAGAACUGGAGCUGCCUCCCUGGGAAGGGGUUUUAUUGGAUGUUCUGUGUUCUAGAUUAUAAUUAUUAUUAGAUAAUGCAGUGGGAUUUGAGCCCUUCUGCAGUAUCCUUUUCCUUGUCCCCUUUCCUUGAUAUAUAUAUAAAUCAAAUGGAGUCUUCCACGUGUUGCCCUUCUCCCAAAGGAUCCCUGAGGUUUAGGACAUGUGUCUUCCCACGGAUUUCCCCUAUUUGCAUCUCCUGGGUUGUGCAAGGCUCUGAGGGAAAAACCAGGCCUCCGCUGUCAGGAGCAAAAGUCACGGCCAUUAAUAUGCCGGGCUUUGGGAUUGAAGGCUGGGGAAAGAGAAGGGUAAUAUUUAUUUUUCCUUAGGAGAACGGGAAAUGGUGAUUUUUUCACAAGGAAUCUCUCUGGCAAAUACUAAUUGCAGGCUUGAACGGUGCCACCGCUGCCGAAGUGGAGGUUGGGGGACUAAAUGACACAGGUGCAGCUCUGGGUGGAUCCUGCUCCAGCCCUGUCCUGCCUUUCCUUCCCUUGGAGAUGUGGAUGUUGCAAGGAGCUGGAUGGUGCUGAGUGCCGUCUGUAACUGAAUACAAGGUGGGAGUGAUUCAGGGAUCGGGGAGAGGUUCCCGUUGGUGCCCCCAGCACAAAGGCAGGAUUCAAGUGGAGCAGCCUCAUCCCAGGGAUGAAAUUGCAGCCCCUGCAUUGUCCCGAGGACGGGCCUUGUUUCCCUAAUCUGCUGCUGCUCUGCAGCUUUAAAUCUGAGGGAAAGAAAAUCUGGAUGUAAAUGCAGCUGUGAAAGGAGUCAGUGAUGGCAGGGAAAUGUGAUAUAAAAUUAUAGCCAGGAUGGGCAGGCAGGGAUUUAUUUUGGAUGUGGGAGUAACGGCCAUGCAUGCGCACAUAACCCCAAGGCACCAGUUUCUCUCGUCUCAGUCUUGCCAAACAAGGGUGACCUUAGGUAGGGAUAAUUUUAAAGUCUGCAGGGUCAUGUCUUACCCCUUGAUUCUGCUGCAUCCUCUCUCUCAAAGGUGGGAAUGUUUUUAAGCCCCUGGUUUUUUAAUGGAGGAAUUUCUCGCCUUCCUGGGUGGGAAAUGAGCAAAUUUUCUCCAUACAUUUUCCCUUUCAAGAUUAGCAUAGAUUAUAUGGAAUAAAUUACAUAAUCUGUUACUAAGUACUGGAGGAUAGUUGCUAGUUCAAGAUUUCAGUGUAUUCCUUUCCUCAGUGUAUCCCUAACUCAGGAAAGGUGCGAAUGAGUCACAGAGCAGAAAUCAGCGGAUAUCACAAAUAAUGUUGUUCCUGAUGAAUUAGCACCCUGACCUCCUCAAGGCAACUUUGGAGGUUGCUCAGAGCAUCCUUGGCAUUGUUUAAUGGCUUUGCUGUGACAUCUGUCUUCAACCCAAAUGGAUUCUGCAAUAGCUUAAAAAAGAAAUUAAAAACCAAGUUAGUGCUUGAAAGGUUGAAUAGGAAUUCUGCUUGGCUUGACCUUGCUUCUCAUGGGAAUGAUUCUUCUGAGAUUUCGAAUGCAUUUCAAUCCACAAAUGGGGGGAAAGGCACUCCAGGUUUUAUAGCUUGAGCACCUCAGGUAUUUUUUCAGCAGCAGAGAGGAAUCAGCCCCUCAGAGAAGUGAAGGGUUUGAAAUCCAACUUCCUAUUUCCAUUUAAGCCAUAUACAAUCCUGCCGUAUCAGUGCAGUAUAUUGUGGGAUGAUUCCUGUGAUUCCCCCCCAGGACCCAUUUGCUCCUGGUUUUGUUUGUAAAUAUGUGGUUUGUUCUAGCAAUGCUUUUUGCUUCAGGCUUCAUUUGUACAGUGGGAUAUUUACCUGUACCAGAGCGUGCUAUUUGACUGCUUAUAUAUAGGAACAAUUAUUGCAAAGGAGAUGAAAACACAUCCUGGGCAUAGCCUGAAGCUCCAGGGGCUGGCUUCCAAGCGCAGCAGGAUUUAGCUUGUUAGAAAAACUGCAAAGGCAGGAGCUGCAAAGCUUCAGGGCCAUGGUGGCAUCUGGGAGAGGAUAGAACAGGUAGAGGAAACACAGGGGACCGGAUUCUCCUGCUGCAGCUGCUUCCAGUGGAGUUAUUCCCCAAAUCCUCACCCUUUCCAAAGUGAAUCCAAAUGUUUCAGGUGCAGGUACUGUCUGUGUAUAUUAAACCCCUGUUACAGGAUGCUGGUUACCUGCAGUGACAGAGGGAGGUUUUAGAGCUUUUAGUAACUUUUGCAUUGUCUGUUGAUGUUUUAAUAGGCUCCAGGCUGGAAGUUUAAUCCGUAAAAAGGUGUGUCAGGUCGUUGGUGAAUAUAAAUUGCUGAACAGCGUAGGCCUGCGAGGCUGGAGGAUGCACGAGGGAGACAGGGCUGUCUUCCAUGUCGAGGAACCGGACUGUGAAAUUAGGCACAUGGGUUUGCAACCUUGUCAUUUUGCCUUGUGUUUCCUGGAGUUCCACUGCUGCGGACACGUCCGGUUUAUGAAGAUGCACAAAGAGGUAAGAAAUCCCCUGUGGCACAGACAAAAAGCGUGGAAAAGUUACAGGGAGGAGAUUAAAGAGUGCAGGAGCUGGUGUGGCUGGAGAAAAGCCUUGGAGAAAUCCAGGUGUUAUCCAAAUUACACAGAAGGUAGUUCAUCUUUUUCAUCUUUAGGAAGGGCAAAUAUAUGAAAUAUCCUACUCCAAGCCUUUUGAUCUGUAGGUUGGAGAAGAGAUGAUACAAGACCCAAAGUUUUAAGUGAAGGGAGGCAAGGAUAGCCCAGGUGGAAUGAUGCUGGGUAGGGAUGAAGGACAUGCUUCAGACGAGCCAAACUUGCCUUCCCCAUGUAGGAAAAUGUGACUUUCACAGGCUUUGAGCUUUGGUUCAGUAUUAGCUGUAGAUCAGAGUAAAUGAGGUGUAUAAUAAACAGCGGUGCAGAGGGGCUGUGCUGGCUAUUGCUUCGAGCUGGGAAAAGGCCUUUCUUACCCUGCUUGGCUGAAAUCCUGAUGUCUUAAAUCAUUUUACCAGCCACAGGCUUGGGGAAAAAUGAUUUGUCAGAAUUCCUGAUUAUAACAAAGAAGUAGAAUAGACUGUGCUCCUCAAUUACAGCAGUCAUUCCAAUCAUUCUUCCUCCUGCACAAGGUGUACUGGGAAAGGCAGUUGGCACAUAAAUAAAUCCAAACACAGCCCAUAGAUUUUGUGCUGCUCAAGGAAGGGGAGCCUGGGGGUCUUGGUGGCCGAGGGAACGGGGGAGUUUCGCCGUGGGAGAUGAUUUUCAUCACAUCCCCAUUUACAAAGUGUUCUGCCACAUCCUGGAGCCGGAGCGGAUGGAUUGUAAGGAAGAGGUUCAUUUGCUUGGGAUGGAUGGCACUCUCAAAAGUAAAGCGCCGUCAGAGAUUUUUAUCUGCCACAGGUGCUGCCACAAGGCCUUCACGAUGGAUGGGGCGGGAGUUCCGAGCCGGAGAGCUUUGGCAGGUCUCCCACGAUGACCGGAAUUUCAGAUAUUGCAGCUAUUUUCCUGUUGCUUUAGCGCAUUCCACAGCCACUCCAAAAUGAUCUUUGUUUUCCAGAAGAGCUCCUGAUUCAGGUAGGCAUUAAACCAUCCGCUGUGGCCCCAGCGGGUACGAGGGGGACGUGGCUCUGCCCAGCAUCUCCUCUUUGCUCCCUGGCCAUAGACAAGAAUUAACACUGGGAAUUGUGAGGGAUGAGAGACAAAUGACUUGACCACAGAGGAGAGGGAGGAGAAGGAACAGUACAAGUUCUUUGCUCAGCACCACCGUGUUGAUCACUUAUUAAAUUACAUCCAUUGUGUGAUUUGAAAGAACUCCUCCUUUUAUCUCAACAGCCAUCGGGAUGGAAACAAUAAUAAAACUCUGCUGACAGGUGCCACAAAGGUGACUUUGUUUUCGGUGCCCCUCUUCAACUUCUGCUGGAUCAGAGAGCAAACAAACCCGAGGAAGUUCUCACUGGGUGAGUGCCAGGAGAGGAGGAGUGUGGUAAAUGCUGGUUGUGGUUUUGGCUAACUCUGCUGGAGGACAAAAGGGGAGGUUUAACAGCAGAUUCUCGGUCUGCUCAGCCUGCAGGAGCCAGGAGCUGAGGCAGGGAGGGUGACUCAGAGUCUCAGUCUGCUCUGAGCCGCUGGGAUUUAUGAGGAUUUGGGCAGACCUCUUGCCGGGGCAGGGCAGAAGUGAUCACGGCACUGCCCCAUCUCACCCUAGCGCUGAUGUCAAAAGGCACUGCAGUGUUCCAGUAAAAAAUGCAGUUUUGUGCGUAUUUUGGGGUGUGAACAGAGUUUCAGGGGGCUCUGUGGGGGUCCUGUUUUCCUCACACUGGCGAAGUGCCCAUCACUGCCUGUCAGGAGGUGAGUAAAGAGCAGAACCACAUCUGACACCAGCUCUGUAAACACUCUCCGUACCUGUGCAGCAUCACUGGGUAGUUUAUCACAGUUUCUGACUCAGUACAAGACAUUUUAUAAUGAGAUUAGCAGGUGGCCCUACAAGAGCAAAGCCUCCUACCUAGCACCACGUAAUUAAUCCAUAAAAAUUAAAGGCAGGUUCUCUCCUUGGCAGCUUUUAAGUAUUCCAAGCGUUGCGGUGUCAUAGGCUUUAUGACAGCUUUGAGAUUAAGGAAUUAAAAAAAAAAAAAAUUAAAACCUAUAUUCAGUAAUUUAAUUCUAAUUAAUUCAUUAUCCAAGAAUCUUCUUUGCAUUGCAGCUCCUAGCCAUAAUAUUUCUCUGGCUUUCUUCCAGAUUUUUUUUCCCCCCAAGCUUUGCUGCUUUAUUUGUGGGCAGGAAAGGAGUGCAUAGAUACAAUUGUAGUCCUCAGGAUGUAUAUUAAUAUUCUUUAACUAUCUUAAAGUUCACCCAUUUAAUGCUGUAUCAUCCAGGAACAGCCUUUUGUUAAGCAAGUUUCAAGAUUGUAUGGCUUUCCUGCUUGUGGAAUUUUUUUGAAAGGGCAUUAAAAAGUUCUCUCUCUUCUCUAGCACAGCCCUGGAGAACUGACCUUCCCACUAGGAGCAAUCUUUCAGCAGGAAACAUUUGGGCACAUUUUUUGUGCCCUUCAGGUUGAUUUUGCUGAGAAGAGCUGCAUGGUCUCCGAGCAGGAACAGAUUGUUGCAGUUAACCUUAGGAUGGGACUGGCUGCCAACAUCUGUACGAGCAGUGUGUCAGUGAUUCACAGAUGCUGGGACGUGCAGCGGCUCUGCAGCCUGAGGGGUGUGGGUGGCUCAUUGCUUUUGAGUGGGGAAGAGCCAGUUUUGGUCACCUUUUGGGCCUUUUUGGCUCCAAUAAGCACCUGGCUGUGCUCCUGUGCAGCACAAGGACAAAGGCAUUGCUGGGUGUGAGGUUUGUCCCCAAGGGUGGCACGUGACCACCUGUAGCUGCGUAGUGAUGGAUUUUUGGGCCGGGUGGCAGGAGGUUUCUGAGGCUGGAGGGAGGUGAAAGUCCAUAAACCAGCACAUUUCAUACCUGGAGAAUGCAGAGGCUGCUCCUAGUAAUAUUUUAGGGCAUGAACUGCCCAUGGCAGCUCUGCCCUGCUCCCCUGGAACAUUUAUUUAUUUUAGGAGUGUAUAAAUGCCACUCUCAGAACUCUCUGAGAGUCCCCCGGGUACUUUUAGCCCUCUCCCCUUUUCACAGGUCAGCAGGGGGAAAGCAGGUGGAUGGCAGCACCUGAGAGCUUUAUAAUCCUGGGAACACUGCCCAGGGAGCCAAUUCCCUAGGCUGGGAUGGGAAAGUGUAUUGUCUGCACCAGGGCUGGAUGGUGGAAAAAUACCUCUUUUGGGGGAGUGGGGUGCGGUUUGUUUUAUUGUUUUCGCCUUUUUUAAUGCAUUUAUACAUUAUGGGAAGUGAUGUGUGUGAGUCAGGAGGGAAGUGAUCCAGCUCUGCACUGCCUGCAACUGCUGCCAAAUAAAUGAGCAAGGUGGCACUGUGGGGCUGCUCACCCGGGGUGCCCGAUCGUGUCAGGGGCGGGAGAAGGUGCAGGGGGCUCUUUAGCUCUGCUUUUCUGCUUUGCUUACUGCUGCCACUCUCAUCUUACAUGAGAUGGAGUUAAAAUACCCAGUUCAUUAAAAAAAAAAAAAAGGAAGGAAAUGCAUCUGAACCUGAAUAAAUUCAGUUAGGGCAGAAGACACAGUUCCUUGCUGCUGAGAGUAUUGAAGCUCUGAAAGGUGGGACACAAGAGUUACGGCCCCUUUGCAUCAGCCUUCCUAGAGAGCUGAGCAGGCUUUACCAGGAGAGAGGCCCAGGGAAGGGGAGUGGAGGAAAAGUCCUCUUUUGGGGAUGUUUUUGCCCUCUUUUCUUUCUGGUAGUCAUGGGUACAUUCCUAGUGGUUUCUCAUUUUUAGGGGCCAGGGCUCUGGCCAGCCCAGAGAAGGGAGGGCAGUUUAAAUACCUGAAUUCAGGUGUGGUCCCUCCCUUGCCCACAUCCACAUGUCCGAGCAGCCACGGAGUCACCUCCAUGUUUACUUGAGUGGGGAUGCAGUGGGAGAGGGGCUUCCUCUCCAGUGCUGAGGGAUUGUCAGACUGGAUUGUCACCCUGUGCCCAUCCGUAGUCGCAGAUCAGCCGAGUGCCUCAGCGAUCCUGUCACUGUCACUGUGUGGGGAGAGGAGAUUUUCCACAGAGGGAGACAGACGAUACCUCAUGCUCCAAACAAAGCCUGCCAGAGAAAAAUCUGUGCGAUACUCAGGCAGCUAAAAUGAGCCAUAGUAUUUAUUCCCAGAGCUCUGUCUUCCCUAAAUAUUGGAUCUCUGUGAGUAUCAAAGGGGCUUCCAACCAAAGCACCAUGCUUUUGACAGCAAUAAAAGACAGGUGCCCAUGGAUAACUCUUCCCCAAUGUUUUUACAGCCAAGUAAUCAAUAUAUCGCAACAGACACAUUGCCUUUUAUUUGCUGUUUGUACACCACCCAGGAUCCUUGGAUGUGGUGUUGACGCCAGCACAAGGAUACAAGAGAUGAGGGAUCGAUAGGAAAUGCUUCUUCAGGUGUAUUGAUUACCCAGAAAGGCAUGACAAUAAAUUUUUGUGUGUUCCCGCUCCGUCUCUGAGCCUGUUAAAAGGAAAGAAAUGCCCUGGUUUUCUCUGUUUCUCUCUUCUAAAAAGCUGAAAAAAACCCCCAACAUGGCAAGACCUUGGGGAUGUUGGGUCUUCUUUUAUUCUUUUAGACAGUGGGAAAAUCUAAUCUAUUUCUUUUCUGACCUUUUGUCCUCUUUUCCCAUCUUGGGAGCAGAGAAAACAAGGAUGACAGCUAAAAGGGAAAGGAUGCCAAAAGAGCAAAAAAACCCAAACCCCAACCCUUAAAAGAGAACUCCUGACAUCAUUCUAUUAAUCCAAUCAGAAUUUGGUUUAGUAUUGAAUUAUUGAAAAACUGAAUUGGAUUACUUUUCAUUGGUAUGGAAAGUGGGAGUUGUGUUCCACAGGCUCCGUAGCACCGGGAUUUAACCUUAUUCCUGCAAACAGUCGAGACCUUGCCUUGGCACAACUUUUCCCACUCCAAGUGCCGGGUGUGCUCAGCAUAUUUCCGAAUUAGGCAGCCAGAAAGGCUGCCCCUCAAGGACACCCGUCUCUGGUUUAUCUCCUGAGUUACGCUGAAGAAGCUGGAAUUGUCUCCAUCGGCAGGAGCCUCUCGCGUUUCAGGGAAGCUCCGUGAGAAGUGAAGGAUGUGAGUGAAACAAGUGGAAUAUUCCAGCUUGAUACCUGGAAUUAAAUGUAGUUAUUGUAGCUAAUCUUGGGAGGCGUAGUGGGGGGUUGGUGCUGGAAAAACUAACCGCCUGUGAGAAGUUCGAGAGCUCCAGGGCAUCAUCCCCUGGGAAGUGCAGAUCCCUGAGCCACAGCGAGCUGGCAGGGGCCGCCCGCUGUGUUUCAUGACAAAUCCAGCGACAGGAUCCUGAGGAUUUGCUGGUGAUUACUCUCCUCACGUUCCUUAAGAUCGUUCUCCCCCCCCAGGGCAGGCGGGAAACCCUGGUUUAAGUCACCCUCCGGCUCUGUGUGAAACCGCUCGGAGGGACAGCUGGGAACAGCCAGGUAUGGCUUUGAAGGGGGGUGGGGCGGGGAAGAGGGAGAAAGUAUGGAUAUGAAAGAGCCAGAAAUUCCCACUCUCCCGGGGUGACAAGCCUUAUCUGGGGAGAGCAGCAGCAUGAAGGAGCCAGAAACCUGAUUUAAGAUCACUCUGCCCCCCCACCCCCAACUUCAGACUCACCCAAACUAACCAAACAAAAAACUGGAGCUCAGACACAAAAUGCACCUGCAAGUUCAUGAGUUUCCUAUUUAUGACCUAAGUUCUCUGUUCCCCAGGCAUUCCCUGAAAUCAUCUUUGCAGAGGGCAGAUUUCCUUCUGGUAGCCGAUACUGCUAGCUUGGAAGAUUAUUAAGACACAAUUGGGAAAAAGGAUCUCAAAAUAAUGCCACCAUCAGUGCUGCCAGGGCUUUUUUUUGCUUUUGUUUUGCUGGGUGUUUUUGAGGAACAGCCUUUUGCUGUAACAUUGUUUCAUGGGGUUUCUUUGCUUAUUUUGCCUUUUUUCCAAGUGAUUUACGAACGUCUCUGUCACCGUUUCAUCCCUUCUGAAAAAGCUUUGUUUUUGUGAAGAGGCUGCAGCACGUCAGAGUAAAGUGCAAAUACCCACUUCAAGGCUCUAACAAGUUCUGUGCCUCUAAGAGCCUUUGAUUCCUGCAUUUAAUUAUGUCACAUUGGAUUAGAAUAAUCCUAUUCCUCCUUGUUUCUCCAACUCAGUUUUCCAUACUUGUCUUGCACUUAAUUAAAAGUGCCUCCUUCACUGCAGGGCUGGUAGGGAAAUGAAGGCUGACACACUGGGGAACUUUGCAUCUGGAGGCAUCUUAUUUUUAAUCUCUCAUAUAGACAUUUAUUUAUCCCACUUUUCAUUCUUCCCUUGCCUAAAGAAAUACUGAGCGCAAGGUUACUUUGUGAAUUUGCUGUUAAACAGUUGCAAGAUAUUUAGAGGUGCAAGGAAAGGAGAAGUUGAAUAGUGUGCUAAUUUCUAGCUAAAUUUGGCUAAACCUUACCUAAUGUCUUGGCGCAAAGCUUUCCCCACCUCCCCUUUUUCUUUUAAUAGUAGCGUUUGGACUUGAUGAUCUUAAAGGUCUCUUCCAACCUUAAUGAUUCUCUGAUUCCAUGCUUUUCUCAUAGUGAUGAAUUUGGGUUUUUACCCACCAACACGAAAUGCUGGGAGGAGACGAAGCAAAGCAAAUAUGCUUUUGGCACUAUAUAUAUAUGAUUGUAUAUAGGAUUUAAUUUUGACUUGGCAGUUGCUUUGAGGCAUAAUACCUGAUUUUGAGGUCUGUGUUAUUCAUCUCUAACUUUUCUGGUAACUUUCUGCUCCAGCGGUUGAGAAAAUUUGUUAGAAUUUCCCGAGCACUUGCUCUUCUUUCCAGCCCUGACCGCCUUAUUUCAGCUUUGCUCCGUGCAGCUCUAUUCAGCAGAGCGGGUUUGCCUGCGUGGUCUAUGACUCAAGACCCUUGAGUCAUCCUGGCUUCUUGGGAUCAGCCAAAGGAUUUUAGGGCAUUAUGCUCCUUAUUCCUGAAGCGGCGAUUUGGGAUUUUUGAGAUUAAUGCAGAUUUUUCCUUUGAUCGCUAUUUACUCCUUCAGUCCCUAUUUUCUCCUUCCUGUGGUGCUGGAAGUGCAGAUCCAGACAUGAGCCUCCCCUGCCCUGGCUGUACCUACAGGCAUGCAGCUGGAUUUUCCAGAGGCUCCUCCUAAGUGUUUCCAGCCCGGUGUGGGGAUCUGGUCAUUGUGCUGGCUGUCAUCUUUGCUCUGGCAGAUAAGGGAAAGUGUUUAAACUCUGUCACCGUAAUAGGAUUACGCUUUUAAACCCUGAAUGAUUCCAGCUCCAGAGCAGCAUUUUGAGAUCAGAUUUGGAUUCCCACGGCUUUUGAUUAUUUUGGGAAGCUGGGGAGCGAUGCUGCGAUUCACCAUGCUAAUUGUGGUGCGGCGCACAUGGUGCAGGCCCCACGCCUGGAAGGGGGGAGUUUUGGCUUUCCCAGGGAGUCUGCAGCCAAAAAACCCCCUCUGUGAGCUGUCAGGUGGGUCAGCACCUGCAGGGUGGUUCCUGUCUGUGGGCGAUGGUGUGGUGGACCCCAGGAGCUCCCCCAGCAGUGGGAAUUCCCGAUGAAGCUGUGCCAGGCCGGUUUGGCUUCCAGCAGCUGGCUCGUGUCUGAAAGUACCUCCAGCACUCCUCCAGCAUUUAGUAACACCUAGUAUUUAAAGCUGGCAAUUGCUCCUGUGCUCCAGGCCCUGCAGGAGUACCCCUUGUGACAGGGUAUCCAAUCCCUGUGCCACUGAAUUCUCUUGGAUGAGGACUCGUUCUUCAUGCUGCUGCCAAUUUUCUCCUACUCUCACUUGCUAAAAUAAUACAUGGUAGUCGCGUCUUAAAUUAGACACAAGCUUAACCCUCUGACAAAGUUCAUGAAACCUGUGUGCUGUGAGGAGAGACUGGAAGCAAUGUGCUUUUCUAUUUGGGAAAUGCCACAGGUGUCAGGUUGGUCAGCUGGAUUUUGCAUGGCAAUUCAUAGGAUCAUGGACUGGUUUGGCUUGGAAGGGACCCUAAAGAGCAUCUCAUGGGCUUGGUUUUCCUGAGACGGUUUGCUAGGAACCCAGACUUUCUUUUCCAUAGACAAAAUUCUGUGUCCAAAGAAGUGCCUUCUCCUUUGGGGAUGUGUUACUCAUUUCCUGUUCCCCAUUUUCUAUAAUUUGUCACUGGCUUUACGGUCUCCUCUCCAUCGACACAUCUCUGAGUGCAGUGAUGCUUCUCAGCAGUGCAGCAAAUGCGGUGACUGGGCCAAACUGGAUCUCCAAGCUUUCCCCUCAGGUGUCAGAAGACGCUUCCCUGCAGUGCUCAGCCCCUGCUUUAUGGGAAAGCCCGCUGUAAUCCGGACACACAGAACUGCAGAGUUUUCCUCUGCCCAGGAGGAUGGGUGGCUGCCCCACAAUUCAGCUCUUCCAUCAGAAAAACAACAAAGCAGCGAAGGAAUAAAUCAUUAAGGCCAUUAAUCAACAGGUAGCAAACAGAAAAGGAAGCCAAAAUGAAAGGGAAUGAUCUGUGGGCUAAACAGUUGUUUUAAACGCGCACGAAGCUCUGUAAUUGAAGGUGCAAGAGCGCAAAACUUAACACUGGAAGGAAACCAGAAAAUGGAUGUACUUAAGGUUGGGCACUCAUGAAAGCAGUUUUAUUGCACAUUACCAAAUUUUAUAAUGUCUUCAUUGUGUCACUGUUAAAAGUCCAGAAUGAUUAUUCUUUAAUGUGUGAAAUAAAAAUGUGUUUAAUGUGCCAGUAUUAAAUAGGUCCAUGGCAAA